rnacentral:rRNA from 1 species
UACGGGGGGGGCAAGCGUUUGUUCGGAAUUACUGGGCGUAAAGGGCUCGUAGGCGGCCAACUAGGUCAGACGUGAAAUCCCUCGGCUUAACCGGGGAACUGCGUCUGAUACUGGAUGGCUUGAGAUUGGGAGAGGGAUGCGGAAUUCCAGGUGUAGCGGUGAAAUGCGUAGAUAUCUGGAGGAACACCGGUGGCGAAGGCGACAUCCUGGACCAACACUGACGCUGAGGAGCGAAAGCCAGGGGAGCAAAGCGGG